GAUGAACGCUGGCGGCGUGCCUAAUACAUGCAAGUCGAGCGAACGGACGAGAAGCUUGCUUUUCUGAUGUUAGCGGCGGACGGGUGAGUAACACGUGGAUAACCUACCUAUAAGACUGGGAUAACUUCGGGAAACCGGAGCUAAUACCGGAUAAUAUUUUGAACCGCAUGGUUCAAAAGUGAAAGACGGUCUUGCUGUCACUUAUAGAUGGAUCCGCGCUGCAUUAGCUAGUUGGUAAGGUAACGGCUUACCAAGGCAACGAUGCAUAGUCGACCUGAGAGGGUGAUCGGCCACACUGGAACUGAGACACGGUCCAGACUCCUACGGGAGGCAGCAGUAGGGAAUCUUCCGCAAUGGGCGAAAGCCUGACGGAGCAACGCCGCGUGAGUGAUGAAGGUCUUCGGAUCGUAAAACUCUGUUAUUAGGGAAGAACAUAUGUGUAAGUAACUGUGCACAUCUUGACGGUACCUAAUCAGAAAGCCACGGCUAACUACGU
rnacentral:rRNA from 1 species